GAGCUGAGUGUCGUCUGGACCUACCUGCCCCGCUUCUUUGACAUGUUUCCAUAAAUUCACACAACCCUGUGGGACACAACACAGGAGGGUUAGUGAGCGUGGCGAGGCCAGCCGACCCGACAGAUACAAACAAGGUCAUUUGUCAUCUGGAAGCCAACGGACGGACUCGCGUCCGCCGGCAGGUCCUCUGUCCUCGGCUCAGUCGACCGACGACAUGCAAAUCAAGCCGCAGUACCGGAUGUAAACAAUGCAACUGCGACGAGCCCAUGCUAAUGCUAGCUCGGGUAGCUCGGCGCUGGUACACAGUCCAGGUCCGAUGUGUUUACACAGCGAACUACACGGAUCAUGAACACGUUACUUCACACGGGCUGUCUGUGGAGCUGUCGACGUGUGGACACGCCGACGGAAAUGUCCACGGUGCGGCCACAAUCGGAAACAGGAGCAGAUUCCAACAGAACGUAGGCAAGGUACACGGAAACGACUCUGCUGUGUGCACUGCAACUCCCAGAAGGCUGCGCGCGGCCCGCAAAGCACUCUGGGAUCUGUAGUCGACUUCAUUCGCCUUCUUUCAGUCGUCGACUGCUGCAAAUGUCCACAUUUUCCCCUCCACGCCGCCCCGCCCAGUGAGGGGCGACUACAAGUUAUGAAUGAACAAAGAGUUUCUGAGGCUGGCAUUUGUAUUCAAAUCACAUUGUUUUGAAACAAAAUACAUUUGGAAUUUAAUAUUAUAUGCCCAAUGUAUGUAUUGUUAUAUUUGUGUUCAUCAUUUGUAUUAUGGUUGUUGUUGUUGUUGUUGUUUGCUUGUUUGUUUUUUUACCUGCCUAAAACACACAAUCCGUUUCACUUGUGUUUUAGCAAUAGGUAUGACCAGACUUUCUGAAUGGUUGUAGAUUAGAGUGAAAUAUAAUAAAAGAUAUUCUUUUUAAA